AUCACUUCUUGUGAAGUUUAUUGUGAGCCUUCAACACUGACAAGAUGGUGAAGUUUGAUUGGGAAUUGUGAUGGUUAAAGAUGGCAAGAAGAAAGAAUAAAGCCAGGAGGAAGCGUUAAGGCUGAAUAAUAGACAACUGGGUGUUGAAAUACAGAAGAGGAAGUGGAGUGUGAAUAUGAGCAACAGAGACAGCAAGAGGACAGCAAAGACCUGGAGAAAACAGAAAAGGCUCAAGUAAUUUCAGAAUGUUAAAGGGAGCUGCAAUGGGCAGGAGGCAAAAGAAGAAACAAAACCUGUGACCCCACUUAUACCCCUUAAUUAUCACUGGCUUUCCAGCUGUGGAUUGUACAUGUCUCCUGCUCAAUUGACUUGCUGUCCCUUUCCCCAAACCACUUUACCUCUGUUUCUAUAGGGGAAGCUUUCUAGUUUUAUCAGUUGUAUUUCUUUUAAUUGAAAAGUGACAUGGUUUUGGCAAACUCGUUUUCUGUCAGCGAGAAGCUGGUUAGUUCUUUGGUUGGUUCCACUUCCCUGGGAAUUAGCACUAAUUGAUUUCUUGUUCAAAAUCACUGCACUCGAGGGGCCUGUCUUUCUUGCUAAAACAAGUCUAAACCAAACUACA